GUUUGAGCAGUGAGGGUUUUAAGAGGAGGUAAAUGGUGUUUGAGGAGUAACAGUCGACUCAGCCCAUCCUGGAGAGAGGAGGAGGCCCUCCGGCCUUGUGUAGAACCGACGAAUCUACGGCAGGGGGCGCCUGAGGCCCGAAAAACCGGUGCGUGAAAUUUUUUUUUUGUCCGGCGGAAACUUCUAAAAGAAGUAACAAUUUAAAAUUCCUGGAGCACGUGUCAGGUAGCAGUAUCAAGAAGAAAAAAGUCAACUGAAAAAGCUUCUACCAAACCAGUGGAUAAGAACCUUUUUAGGAGAGUGUGCAUGGGAGCGAUUUUAUUGUCUGUCUGGAAACUAGGCCUGGAACUUUUAUCCAAGAUCCGGAUUCGAUCCGGAUCCGAUCCAAAAAUUCGGUUAUCCGGAGGGGUCGAAUCCGGAUCCGGAUCCUGAUAUCUUAAUUUUUUAGUCCGGAUAUCCGGAUCCGUGAGUUUUAUUAAUAACUAUUUCAAAAAUAGUAAUAUAUAUAUAUUAAUUUUAUUUAAUAUAUUUUUAUUUUUAUAAUAGUAUAUAUAAAUUUUAUGUAAAUUUUAUAAUAUUAUACAAAGAAAUAAUUAAAAACAUUAUAUAUAUUUUUAUUUUUAAAUUAUUUUUAAUAUUUUAUAUAUAUUAAUAUUAGUUUUUAUUUAUUUUAAGGAUCCAAAUCCUGAUCCGGAUAUCCGCCGGAUAUUAUAAUUUUUAGAAGGAUAUCCGACAUCCGGAUAUCCGAGAACCCCGGAUCCGGAUAAGGAUAGUAAAAUUAUGGAUCCCCCGGAUAAGGAUCCGGAUCCGGAUACUUUAAAAUUGUCUGGAUACCCGAUCCGUCCCACGCCUACUAGAAACUACUAAACUAGUCAUUUCAAUAGUUAUUUUAUGAGUGUGUUACAUCAUCAGACACAUUAUUUUCUUUUUUUACAAGAUAAAGCACUUUCCACUUGAGGAACACAUUGUCCUUUUCCACCCCUUGUGGUUUUACAGCAGUACCCUUCACGUUUGGUUCUGAGAAACUAGAGGAUGGCUGCAUUUUUUUAUUUUAUUUAUUUUUUCUCAACUUUUUCUUUGUUCUUUUUGCAAAGUUCUUAUGUUUUUAUUUGUUUUUUUCUCAGAGUUUAAGAAAUUUGAAGAAAGUAUAAUUAUUACAAUAAAUUGUAAUUUGUUUUUCUCUAUAUUUUAACAUCCAUUUUCAUAUAUAUAUUUUAUAUAUUUCAACAAUUUUAUAAAAAAAUGUAUGGACAUAAGAAGUGUGGAUGCAAAAUUGUGAACAUGUAAGAAAAAUACGUGAACAUAAAAAGAUGUGGACAUGGAUGGAUAAAAAAUAUAGAAAAUCUCUUUAAAAUUUUCGUGGAUGAGGUUUCAUGAACUAAGUUUCAUUGAUGUGUUUUCUUGGACAAGUUUUUAUAUUCUUAAUCAUCUUACAUAAUUUUUUAGUAUCUGUGGACAAGUACUUUAUGCAUACCAUAUUGAUACCUUAUUGUGGAUAAUAUAGUUAUAACAUAAUUAUGGACAUGGACACAAAAACUAUGGACAUGGAUAUCAUAUUUCUUUCUCCAUCAAACAGAAAAAAACUGGAUAAAGCAAUCUAAAGAGAUUUGCCAGGUCCAUAUUCGACUAACAAUUACAAAAACAUAAGCUUUCUAACGUACGCUAAUAAAAAUUGUUUAGACACACUACAUAAGCUAACCAGAAGCCUAAGUCAAAGCCUGGGAAAAACUAAGAGGUACCUCUUUUCCUGAGCUUAUUGGGAACCAUACGUGUAGAUUCAUGGAGUUUUGUAUACCGAACUCGUUACCAUCUAACUUCUUCCACGGCGUAAACUUAUCUUUACUCUUUCUUGCUCUCAUUAAAAUCUUCCAUUCUUUUGCAUGACAAAACACACACACACAAGAAUUUCACAAGCCUUGUUAGAAUCAAAUUCUAUUGGUGUUGUAUUGAAUGAAGCACGAAACUCACCAAAACUUUCUUCUUUGUGUAGUUUCACGAGACAUCUUGGUGCUGUGAUAGCUACAGCACAUCCACAAUAUCUGAAAAAGUUCCAAUUUUUUUGGGCAGUUACUAUAGAUUUAACCAAUUACAAUCAAAGAAAAGAGAUGGAGAUUUAACCAAUGAACAACACUCCAGAUAUGAGAUUUUGUCAUAUCCAAAUCUUGACUGAAAUUGCUUUAACAAAGGGUUCCCAAAUUAGCCAAAAAAGCAAACUAACUAACCUUGCAUUUAGAAAUCUGUUGCUCACGGGAGCAGGUGUGGGGGCUUUGUUCGACGGUGGGCCGGUGGCUCAGAGACUACCGCUACGAAACAGAUAAAUGUGGAGAAGAAAAUGAUUUUGAUUCGCGAAUAAUUUACGGAGUGAGGGACUGAAAUGGAUUAGGGUGAGAAAAUGACAAUGAAUUGCAACCAUAGAAAAUCUAACAAAUAAGAUUAGGGUUCGUGAAUUGGGAAUUUGGGAAAGUGACUUUCUUUGUUUUCUUUAAAUCAGCAAAUUAAAAAAAAAAAAAAAAACUAAAGCACAAAAAAGUAAAAAGAUAGCGAGAAUGAGGUGCUGGUUAAGAGGGUAUCAUGGACAUUACAUAAGUAGAAUGUGUGUUGCAAGUGGAAUGUGUCUUAUUGUGAUAUUGUAAAGUCAAAAUGUGUCUGUGAGUGUAAAUUUUUCUUAUUUUAUCUACCGCAAUUUUCUCUAUAUUUUAACGAUAAAAAGAUAAUUGGGAAGAAAGUUUUGUUGCGUUGAGAUUCAGAUAUUUUUGCAAGACUUCAGCUGAAGUGCACAUGUGCAUCAACUGUUAUAUAUGGUAGACUCUUUAAAUAAUCUUUUUUUUUUUUUUUUUGAUAACUCUGGUAUCUGGGCAGCCACAUUCUCAAUUAUUCCUCCGAAAGGGGUCCAGCGCCCCAACGGAAAGGAUGUUAAAUCCGUUGUGGCCAAGAUUCAAACCCAGGUGGCGGACAGUACAUCUGUACCUCCUUUACCACCAAGUUACGAGCGCUUGGUUCUCUUUAAAUAAUCUUCACUCCUCAAAAUCCUCCAAAAUAAGUUUCAGUUCGCAUAGAUUAUUUUUCGAAUGAUGAUGUGUGAAUGGUCUAUCGUGGUUUUAUUUUAGGUUUUCGAUUUGGUUAUCCCGUCAUACUAAUAAAUCGAUUUAAAGUUGAGCAUAAAUAGAUAUUAUUUUAAUCUUUGGUCUUAUUUACGAGAACAUUUUUUCAACUGUUUCGUCUUUCCAUUUUAUAUAUUCCUUACAAUCGCAUUAUAUUUUAGAUGUAACUAGAAUUUAUCCCGCACAUUUGUGCGGGUAUUUUUCAUUUUAUAAACUUUGACAUUAUCAUACAAUUUUUGAAUAUAUGAUUUAUAUUUUAGUGUUAUGUAUUAUAUAACUAUUAAAUCUUAGUGUUUAGGUUUUUUUAUUAUUUUAUUAAUAUAUAGUGAUUUGGUUAUGUCUUUUACUCUUUUAUUAAUUUUUAUUACAUUUUCAAGUUUGGUACAAUUAAUAUAUAAUUUGAAAUAAUCAAAUUAAGAAUCUUCUUCAACAUAUGAUAUUUUGAAAAAUAUAUAGCUGUAGAAAUAAAAUUUCAACAUAUGUUAAUAACUUUAUUUUGGUAUAAAAUAUUAUGUAGUUAACUUAUUUUAACCCGUUUAAUGGUAAAUGAUAAUUUAUUUAUAUGAAAGCUUUUCUAAAAAA